GCGGGUGUAGUUCAGUGGUAGAGCGUCAGCUUCCCAAGCUGAAUGUCGCGGGUUCGAAUCCCGUCGCCCGCU
rnacentral:tRNA from 2 species